rnacentral:lncRNA from 1 species
CUCUCCCUAUUUUGGUACACCUCGGCAUGUACCAUAUGUUAUGUAUCGAACCAGUCAUUAGCUAGUACGAACCGUCAUAACUAGGUCAAGCAGACCUUGUUGUUAGCCAUCUCUUCGCACACGAUAUUGACCUCCCCUUAUAGACCCUAUUCUCCUUUCUUCAACAUUUUAUCCUUAAAAAUCAUUUGUUUCUCCCCUUGCAAAUUCCACCACCUAGUCUCCGGGUUUCUUGUUUUAGUCCUUAUCCCCAUGAACUAACACUAAGCCCUUAAGAAGAUCACAUGAUGCAUUCCUAAUUGACCACUUCAAAUAAGAUUUCAGAUGCUAUAGCUAAACUAAUUGCAUGAUGCUAUAUGUUCUUGACAAUGGAUAUCCAAGCCUGCAAGAAUCUGGGUACAAUGAAAUAAGAUAGGCAAAACUAGUAGCAUCAAGGCUCGCAUAGCACAGCUAUCUUGCCUUAUGUUUUCAAUCAUGUUAGCUGCUGUAGAUUAUAGACGAUUGUGCAAGAAUUAAGAAAGAGUGACAUACAGCAAUCUAAAGACCAUUUAUUUGUCGAUAGAUAGAAUAUCCAUAAUAAAGGUAAACAGAAUAUAAGUGGUUUAAGAUUGCAAUAGGUUGUACAUAAACUGACCUUAGCAGAUGAGCUAUUUAUCUAAGAAAUGCUCAUAUCGAACAUCUUGUAUGAAGAGGAGAAAAGGUACAGUGAUUACUAGCCAUGUAUUCCGCUGCCCU